rnacentral:rRNA from 1 species
GAUCAUGGCUCAGGACGAACGCUGGCGGCGUGCUUAACACAUGCAAGUCGAACGGGGAUCAUAGCGGAAGCCCUUUGGGGUGGAAGGUAUGAUUCGAGUGGCGGACGGGUGAGUAACGCGUGAACAAUCUGUCCCAGACAGGGGGAUAACACUUGGAAACAGGUGCUAAUACCGCGUGAGACCACGGUAUCGCAUGGUACUGAGGUAAAAGGAGCAAUCCGGUUUGGGGUGAGUUCGCGUCCGAUUAGCCAGUUGGCGGGUAACGGCCCACCAAAGCGACGAUCGGUAGCCGAUCUGAGAGGAUGACCGGCCACAUUGGAACUGAGAGACGGUCCAAACUCCUACGGGAGGCAGCAGGUGGGGAAUAUUGGGCAAUGGGGACCGAAAGCCUGACCCAGCAACGCCGCGUGAGUGAAGAAGGCCUUCGGGUUGUAAAGCUCUGUUAUAGGGGACGAAGGAAGUGACGGUACCCUAUAAGGAAGCCCCGGCUAACUACGUGCCAGCCGCGGC